rnacentral:lncRNA from 1 species
CUGAGCCAGCCCAGGCUGGCCUUAUCUCUCUCCUCAGCCCAGUGUUUGUUUGAAGAGAAUCAAAGCAUGUUCUUUUUCUGUUUUCUUCAAAGGGAAGGAGAGAAUGAUGCUGGCCACUGCAAGAGGAGAGGGGACUUCGGUUUGCUGGUGGAGUGGUCACAUCAGAGCUUCUGCUGCAGUCUCUUUGCUUCUGGUCAAGUUCUAGCUCUGCCACCGCUUCAUGCUUUUGUGGUCAUAGAAGGUCAGAGCAUGCUGACAGAGCAAUUCCUGAGAUUCCAGGUAAGACCAGAGCAAGGUCCAGGAACUGCGACACCUCAUUCAGAGCAGAAGAGAGGAGAAUAGAUCCCGACAUGCAUCUGUUUAGUGCAGAACCGCCAACCUCCAUGUCUCUCAGUGAAGGUGGUGGUUUCAUCACCAGCAGCAGCAGCUAGUCUUUGCUCCUCCACAUGGCCCAUGCCAGCCCUGCCUCUGUCCACACAUACCGUAUCUUAGCUCAAUGUAUUCUGUGUUAGUGCUGUUUUCCUAUGCUUUUGUUUGCCUAUAGACU